GAUGAACGCUGGCGGCGUGCCUAAUACAUGCAAGUCGAGCGAACAGACGAGGAGCUUGCUCCUCUGACGUUAGCGGCGGACGGGUGAGUAACACGUGGAUAACCUACCUAUAAGACUGGGAUAACUUCGGGAAACCGGAGCUAAUACCGGAUAAUAUAUUGAACCGCAUGGUUCAAUAGUGAAAGACGGUUUUGCUGUCACUUAUAGAUGGAUCCGCGCCGCAUUAGCUAGUUGGUAAGGUAACGGCUUACCAAGGCAACGAUGCGUAGCCGACCUGAGAGGGGGAUCGGCCACACUGGAACUGAGACACGGUCCAGACUCCUACGGGAGGCAGCAGUAGGGAAUCUUCCGCAAUGGGCGAAAGCCUGACGGAGCAACGCCGCGUGAGUGAUGAAGGCCUUCGGAUCGUAAAACUCUGUUAUUAGGGAAGAACAAAUGUGUAAGUAACUAUGCACGUCUUGACGGUACCUAAUCAGAAAGCCACGGCUAACUACGUG
rnacentral:rRNA from 1 species